CGGUAGCUCAGUCGGUAGAGCAGAGGACUGAAAAUCCUCGUGUCGGCGGUUCGAUUCCGCCCUG
rnacentral:tRNA from 1 species